GGUUGCUUGGUGUAAUGGUUAGUAAGUAUUGACUUGACUCCAGAGCCAGUUAGUUUCCUCACUAACAGCCUUUUAGGCACAUCAGAUUCUGAUUCUGGGGAUAUUGGUUCGAUUCCUAUAGCGACCU